GAUGGAACAACUUCACUAUCGAAUGACUCUCCAAGAUUACCAGCAGUCUGAGUUCGUAUAAUCCGCCGCUGCUGAGGCUGA
rnacentral:sRNA from 1 species